UUAAUGGAGGAUAUGGGGCCCUAAAGUGGCUCGUCACAGCUAAUAAAAGAUACUAGUGGAUUUGAUGCUUUACUUUGCCUGCACUAUAAUUGCUCCAAUCUUGCCUGAUUUGGAACUAAAAGUCUUCACAUUUACUUUCAUGUUGUUCUCCAUUUAGAAGUUCUAGCUUGAAGCUUGAAUAUGUAUUUGGAUGCGAAGGGUUUGAACCAGAAUAUUCAAAAUUCAGAGAGGUGAUAUUAUUGGAGUUAGAUGCAGUAAGAAGCAUAUGUAAUGGUCUGGUUCCCCAUGCUAUGUUCCGGACUCUUAAAAGUUUGUUCAUUUACCAUUGUAGGUCUUUGGGAAGUCUCUUCACAUGUGAUGCAGCGCAAUGUCUUUUUCAGUCGGAAGAGCUUUGGGUAGAGAAAUGCCCUUUGUUGGAAAGAGUAAUUGAAACAAGCAAGGAAACAAGCAAGCUAGGAAACAGUUAACAAGAAGAAGAAUAUUGUUCUUUCUAAAUAAAAGUCGUUUUGAAGGAGCUUCCUGUGUUGUACAGUGGAAGUGCUACUACUGAUAUUGGCAUCGAGUGUCCUUCAUUGGAAGCUUGGAACACUAGUAUGUGAAGGACUGCCUCCAUUUGCCAUUUUCAACCUCUGCUUCUGACUAUUUCCACAGCAGGAACCAAAUCCAACUCGAUGAUCAACAACAGUACGACGUUCUAUAUCGCAGAAUUUGGAGUCCAACAUUGGAAAGCUGAUUCAUGGAGAAGAAACAGAAAGAAAUCUUUCAUGGUUUCCGGAAAUCAAAUCAAAUUAAUGAGAGCACCUCUGCCUGCGCUUCUCAUAAUGAAUUACGAUUCCGGGUAGCUCUAAAUUUUUCAGUUUUCAAGAAUUCCUAUACUAAUCUGAAAAUGCCCAAAAUCUCAGAGCUUGGUGGGAAUUUCGUGUUGGGGAAUUGAGAAUUGGGAGUGAGAGAUCGGAUUCUAGUCGGUUUAUUUAUUUAUUUAUUAUUUUUUUUUUUUUCUGGCGAAGCACCACUAGUGAGAUAGGAGACGCAUUUGCCGUUGGUUGAGAAUUUUGAUGGGUUCUGAGGCUUUUGGUGAUGUUUUAGAGUGUAAAGGGAAUAGAUUUUAAACAGAUGAAUUUGGGUGAGGUGAGAGGCUUGGUUGUAGACUUGUAGUUGUGGUGGACUGGUGGUGGAUGAUAGACAGAGAGACUGAAUCAGAGAGAGAGAGAGAGAGAGAGAGAGAGGAGGGGACCGGAGGAAGAGAGAAAUAUAAAAUGAUUAAUUUUCAGUUAUUCACUAUAGUUAAUCAGAGUUAAUAACCAUAGUUAAAUUAUAAAAGACAUGGCAAUGUUUGAUAGGAUGGCGGUAUCACCACUAAAGGUUAAGUGGUGAGCAAAUUUAAUUUCGAGAAUUUGUUAGUUGUGUUUGCCUAAUUUAGCUAUUGAACUUAUUGUGCCUAUUAGUAGUGUACAUACUGAUGAAUAUUUCACCAUUAAGGUUUGGCACUAUCGGCUGGGGCCCGUAGGAGAACCCAGGCACUGUACCAUGGGUCGGGUUCACAACCCACCAUGAUGGUGCUCAUCGGAGGCAACACCUUGGACGCCAAGAGCCCUGGACUUGGCCAGCGCAGUCCAUCUAAUUACACCAGAAAGCUGAUAUGACUGCAAAGGGACAAGCUGCAUCCCACAUCGAAGAAAUGGGAAACUCCUUUCCCAUGCUCGAGUAUAAAAGACCAACACAACUACCUUUUUGAGGCUAGCAGAGGAAUCCCAGAAGAUGUCCAAGUAGCAGACUUAAUAGGUAGCAGUAUGAGUUUGAGAAACGGCUGUUACGAGAUAUCAACACAAUGGAAGAUGCCGAACUUAUAGUGAAUUCAGUGGACGGUAUACGGAGCCAUGUCGAUCAAUUGCACCGUCUGAUGAAGAUGCCCAUGGCCAAACAAUGCAAAUGAAUGCUACUCUGCAAUGUCACUAACACGAAACCAAAAUCACUAGUCUGUCUCCUCUUCUAGCUUUUGCAAACUAAUAAUUGUUGUAACAUAUUCAUUCACUCUCUUUCCGGGUUGUGUUUGUUAAUGGAAGUUAAAGAAAGUAAGAAAGUUGACUCUGGACUCACUUGGAAAUACAGAAUGAUUAUGA